GGUUGCGAUCAUACCAGCACUAAUGCACCGGAUCCCAUCAGAACUCCGUAGUUAAGCGUGCUUAGGCGAGAGUAGUACUAGGAUGGGUGACCCCCUGGGAAGUCCUCGUGUUGCAACCC
rnacentral:rRNA from 1 species